rnacentral:rRNA from 1 species
AAUAGAUACCCGGGUAGUCCACCCCGUAAACGUUGGGAACUAGUUGUGGGGUCCUUUCCACGGAUUCCGUGACGCAGCUAACGCAUUAAGUUCCCCGCCUGGGGAGUACGGCCGCAAGGCUAAAACUCAAAGGAAUUGACGGGGACCCGCACAAGCGGCGGAGCAUGCGGAUUAAUUCGAUGCAACGCGAAGAACCUUACCAAGGCUUGACAUACACCGGAAACGGCCAGAGAUGGUCGCCCCGCAAGGUCGGUGUACAGGUGGUGCAUGGUUGUCGUCAGCUCGUGUCGUGAGAUGUUGGGUUAAGUCCCGCAACGAGCGCAACCCUCGUUCUAUGUUGCCAGCACGUAAUGGUGGGAACUCAUGGGAUACUGCCGGGGUCAACCCGGAGGAAGGUGGGGAUGACGUCAAAUCAUCAUGCCCCUUAUGUCUUGGGCUUCACGCAUGCUACAAUGGCCGGUACAAAGGGCUGCAAUACCGUGAGGUGAGCGAAUCCCAAAAGCCGGUCCCAGUUCGGAUUGAGGUCUGCAACUCGACCUCA